AAAGACCCUCACAGCAGGCUGGAUGCAGAGAUGAAGAGAUGUGCACCAUUGUUGAUGGCAACCGGAGAGACGCACCGCUCAGAAGCAGUCUAUACAGAAGAGGGAGUGUGUGCAUGUGUGGGGUCCUGCGUGGAUGUGUCGCCUGUCCACCUGUCUCCAUGGAGGAGAUCUGACACUUCUUGCAGCUUCUCAUGUGCUUGAAGACCAACAGCUGCCUGCCUGGCCCUUCAUUCCCCAUGGAAACGGCAAGUAAAAAGACUGCAGCUGCUGCUCUUAAGACGUUGAGUGAAAAAGUACAAGAGACAAUUCAAGUUGCCAGACGAUGACGUCAGACAUCCUGGACUCUGCCAUUGGACAGCUCACCACCACGUGACCAAAGCUUCCUCCGGGUUGGACCAGAAUUAAGCGUUUGGAUGAUUGCUGGACCUUCUGCAGGCUCACUGCUGUGCGGAUUUGGAUCUCAGGGUCAGAAAGUGCAACCUUCCUGCCACUUAGGAGCAAUAAUCCCAUGGAUGAUUAUGGACAGACAUUUUGGAGCAAUGUGAAGCAGAAGCAGAGAACGGCCUACAAAAAACACGCAGCAACGACGUAAAUUUGGUUGCAGAAGCCCAGGAUGAGGCACAAGAAGAAGCAUGGGAGCAAGAAUGCUACCCAGUGGUCUUCAUGGAACUCUCCACCAACCUCCAACUCCUGCUGUCCUGUCUCCCAAUAUCAUGGAUUAUUUCCCUCUGUCUCAUUGUGAGGCCUUCAUUGAUCCAUAUAUCCAAUCAGACCUUGCCAAUUAUAUUCCUGUCCAAGCCCCGAUCAUCAUCACCAAAUUCCAAAACAGUCCCAGGGCCCGUUACUGGCCGUCUUAUGUAAACGAUACAUUUAAUUUUACUCAUUAGUUUGAAUCCCACAGCACACCGUAGUAUUUCAGUUCAAAAACUGUCCAUGAACAUUACAGUGAAUCUGCAGCUCCUCUUGAGCACAGCGUGCAAAAAAACCCACAACAGCAUAUUUGUGUGGGUGUUUCAAGUAAUGUUGCAUGCUUAAAUCAAUGGGAUAGUUGUCCUAUUUAAUGUCACUUUAUGCUUCUUUUCUGUAUUAUGCACUGUAAAAUGAAUGUAGUGAAUGCUGUAAAUUAUUUUGUCAAAUGCAACAAUCCUUUGAUACA